rnacentral:rRNA from 1 species
GAUGAACGCUGGCGGCGUGCUUAACACAUGCAAGUCGAACGAUGAAGCCCAGCUUGCUGGGUGGAUUAGUGGCGAACGGGUGAGUAACACGUGAGUAACCUGCCCUUGACUCUGGGAUAAGCCUGGGAAACUGGGUCUAAUACUGGAUAUGACUUCUCAUCACAUGGUGGGGGGUGGAAAGAUUUAUUGGUCUUGGAUGGACUCGCGGCCUAUCAGCUUGUUGGUGAGGUAAUGGCUCACCAAGGCGACGACGGGUAGCCGGCCUGAGAGGGUGACCGGCCACACUGGGACUGAGACACGGCCCAGACUCCUACGGGAGGCAGCAGUGGGGAAUAUUGCACAAUGGGCGCAAGCCUGAUGCAGCGACGCCGCGUGAGGGAUGACGGCCUUCGGGUUGUAAACCUCUUUCAGUAGGGAAGAAGCGAGAGUGACGGUACCUGCAGAAGAAGCGCCGGCUAACUACGUG